AGGGGAAAAGCUCUCAGUUUUUCACCACUGAAGAUGAUUCCAGGUGUGGAUUUUUCAUGUACGGCCUUUAUUUUGUUGAGUGUUUUUAUCUGGUUUUGAUAUCAGCAUAAUGCAGACUUCAUGGGUUGAAUCAGGAAGCAUCAUUCUGCUUCCAUUUUUCGCAACAGUUUGAGAAAAAAUUUUUCUUGUGGUUGAUUUCUAGUUUCAGAGCAUUGUGAUCAGAAAAGAUGGCUGGUAU